ensembl:processed_transcript RIKEN cDNA 2610307P16 gene
GUCUGCUCUGGGACUUGGAACAAAAGGGGGAACUCUGAUGAACUCCUUCUCCCGCUCCCUGGACGCCCGAGUAUCUCUUUCUCGCAACUUUGUCAACGCGACUUUCUCCGCUGUCAGGCUGCGCAAAAGUGUCCUAGCGCCUCGCAGGCUGCAACAAUGGAAACAAUGUCCCUUCAAAGUGCGACGAAGUGGAGGGAGAAGGUGUCAUACCAGCGACUCCAAGAGUCAUGUCACCCACUUAGCAGGAGUACUUCUACUGAAAUGCCUUCGAAUUACUCUUAUUGGAUAUAUACCUACCAGCCGCUAGCAUGAAGAUGCCAGGACCGCUGCAAGGUAGCACUGGACAAAGCAUCAUCAACUUCUUCAUUUAGAAGUUUCUUCAGUUAAAUUGCUGGGAUUUUCGACAAGGCUUUCCUUAUGUGGAUUAUUGGAGUGUGAUGCCCGGAAAUUCUCUGCUUGUAGAAGCACCCCCACGUGACUGCAGAAGCCUUCACACCCAGCACGCUCAGAUGGGAAUGAGUGAUGGCCAUCCAGUGACCAGCUGGAUCUGACUGCCUUACAAGA